GCCGGCGUAGCUCAGUUGGUAGAGCAGCGGUUUCGUAAACCGCAGGUCGUCGGUUCGAAUCCGACCGCCGGCU
rnacentral:tRNA from 1 species